GUCAACUUCAGAACUGGAGAGUUUCCAGAACUGCAUCUUGAUGUAUGCUGGAAAAAGGUUUGCCUUCUCUCCUCCGGUUUAUGAAGCAAGGUGUCUUCUCGCUGCUUUAGAUUACAACCACCACAAUCACCGACCAGAUUACAUUGACCGGAAUAAUGAGUUAUCAUUUAGGAGACUCUACAGCAAGAAGUCACGCAAUUACCGUGUCCAAGCGGUAAAGGUAGCAAAAGACUACAGCUACAUCCCUGAGCUGCAGUGUUGCAUCCUGAGGAAACGUAUGGAUGGAGGGGGGCUCCCAAGGAGAGCCAAACUGUCACAGGAUGACCCAAGGCGCCUUGGAAAUCUUGCGGGAGUUGUCCCCCCCCCAACAGCAGAACUGGU